UACGAAGGGGGCUAGCGUUGCUCGGAAUCACUGGGCGUAAAGCGCACGUAGGCGGAUUGUUAAGUCAGGGGGUGAAAUCCUGGAGCUCAACUCCAGAACUGCCUUUGAUACUGGCGAUCUUGAGUCCGGGAGAGGUGAGUGGAACUGCGAAUGUAGAGGUGAAAUUCGUAGAUAUUCGCAAGAACACCAGUGGCGAAGGCGGCUCACUGGCCCGGUACUGACGCUGAGGUGCGAAAGCGUGGGGAGCAAACAGG
rnacentral:rRNA from 1 species